rnacentral:tRNA from 1 species
GCCAUUAUGGUGUAGUGGUUCGAGCGCUGGACUGUGACUCUGGAGAGCAGGGUUCGAAUCCCAGCUCAGCCA